rnacentral:rRNA from 1 species
CAGGAGGGGCGAGCAUUAUUCGUAUGUACUGGGCGUAAAGGGUUUUUAGGUGUUUUAUAAUUUUAUAAAAUGAGUAAUAGAAAGGGGUUAGAAGUAUUUCUAAUGUUAAGGUUGACAUCUUUCGAGAUUAGUAAAGACUUUCAGAAGCGAAGGCGUCUAACUAUAAAUUACUAACGCUGACGAACGAAAGCAGGGGGAGCAAACAGGAUU